AAAUUAUCUUUUUUAUUUUUAAAAUAAUGAUUUCUAUAAAAAAAAUACCUUAAUUUUAAAAUUAAGAUUAAUUUUUUUAACAAAAUCUUUUUAUUUUAGCCAAUUGUUUUACACAAUGUUAUAACAAUAAAAAUCAUGCAAAGAUAUAUUACUAUUACCACCAUUUAUAAAAAAAGAGAUUAUAGUUACCUAUAAAUCUAUUAGAUAAGUGGAUUAUUUAUUAUUUUCAGAUUCCUGUCAAAAAACUGAAACAUCAGUGAAUUUAUCAUCAGAUUCAACAAAUAAUGAGGAAAUGUCUGACUCAAGUAAUUACAAUUCGGGAACAGAUUCCAACUACACUCCGUCAGCACAUGACACUAGCUCUGAUGAAUCAUUCCUACAAGAGAACAUGAACUGUCCCGUCAUAUUAGAAAGAAACAUCCAAGAAUCAACAAAAG